rnacentral:lncRNA from 1 species
CUCGGGUUUCUCCCACUGCUUCCCAAUAGUGUCCUUUUCCUUUUUUGCAAGCCUGGGUUUUGCACGGUGAGGCCCCAUUAUUUGGGUCAUUAUGGUGCAAUUAUUUUCUGACAUUUGUUUUUGUUUUUCCUUUUCCCCUAGACCAAAAAAAUAUGGCAGUGACAGAGCAUGGUGCCCCUCAGCAGCCUGUUUUCCGGUCUCCACAGCCACCUGCUGCCUCCCCAGGUCCCACUUAAGGAUUCUCAGGGCUACAGGAGUAAAAUUUGUUUUUUCCAACUUCCUUCCUCAUGUUGACUCCACAUGUCUCCUUGAAGGCCGUGAUGAGAAGAUUGAGGUUCACAUAGCUAUGACUUGGUGGCACUGGGAUCCACAGCCAGAUGGAGCAGACCUCAGAGCAAGUGCUGUCGGCCGACGCAGAGGCUGGAAGUCACGCUCAUCCUCCCUCGGACCCGGGAUGCUUCUCACACAGGCAGAUUGAAUUAUGGAAGCAUUAACUGCCUUCCAAAGGAGCGUCUCCGGACCCACAAUCACCAGUGAUAACACACGAUCAUUGGCACCUCUGCCUAUCACAUGUUCUAGAACCUGAACACCAGAUCACUUCUCCUCCCAGGCCAGGUCCACAGAGGCUUAGGCACGGUGCUCACAUGGGCUUGCCUGGGACUUUCCUAGCUUCCUGCUGUGCCCCCCCCCCAGCUCUCUCAUUUGUCCCUCAAGACCUGGGAUUCCAUGACAGAAGCUUCCCC